rnacentral:piRNA from 1 species
UACCAAGCGCCUACUCUUAAGAGUUCUCCA